UACGGGGGGGGGGCAAGCGUUGUUCGGAAUUACUGGGCGUAAAGCGCGUGUAGGCGGCUCUGCAAGUCGGAUGUGAAAUCCCACGGCUCAACCAUGGAAGUGCAUUCGAAACUGCAGGGCUAGAGUCCUGGAGAGGAAGGUGGAAUGCUUGGUGUAGAGGUGAAAUUCGUAGAUAUCAAGCGGAACACCGGUGGCGAAGGCGGCCUUCUGGACAGUGACUGACGCUGAGACGCGAAAGCGUGGGGAGCAAACAGGG
rnacentral:rRNA from 1 species